CCUACGGGCGGCAGCAGUGAGGAAUAUUGGUCAAUGGACGAGAGUCUGAACCAGCCAAGUAGCGUGAAGGAUGACUGCCCUAUGGGUUGUAAACUUCUUUUGACAGGGAAGAGCAGAAGACGGUACUUGUCGAAUAAGCCACGGCUAACUACGUGCCAGCAGCCGCGGUAAUACGGAGGCGGCAGGCGUUGUCCGGAUUUACUGGGUGUAAAGGGCGUGUAGCCGGGCUGACAAGUCAGAUGUGAACUCCGGGGGCUCAACCCCCGAACUGCAUUUGAAACUGUUGGUCUUGAGUAUCGGAGAGGCAGGCGGAAUGCCUGGUGUAGCGGUGAAAUGCGUAGAUAUUAGGAGGAACACCAGUGGCGAAGGCGGCCUGCUGGACGACAACUGACGGUGAGGCGCGAAAGCGUGGGGAGCAAACAGGAUUAGAUACCCCUGUAGUC
rnacentral:rRNA from 1 species